GGAAUUGUUCGCAAUGGGCGCAAGCCUGACGACGCAACGCCGCGUGGAGGAUGAAGGUCUUCGGAUUGUAAACUCCUGUUGACCGGGACGAAACCCUUAGGGAUCAAUACCCCUGAAGGCUGACGGUACCGGUUGAGGCAGCCCCGGCUAACUCUGGGCCCGCAGCCGCGGUAAUACAGAGGGGGCGAGCGUUGUUCGGCAUUACUGGGCGUAAAAGGCGCGUAGGCGGCCAACUAAGUCAGACGUGAAAUCCCCAGGCUCAACCUGGGAACUGCGUCUGAUACUGGAUGGCUGGAGUUCGGGAGAGGGAAGUGGAAUUCCAGGUGUAGCGGUGAAAUGCGUAGAUAUCUGGAGGAACACCGGUGGCGAAGGCGGCUUCCUGGACCGACACUGACGCUGAGGCGCGAAAGCCAGGGGAGCAAAC
rnacentral:rRNA from 1 species